AGCUAACUAGCUGUGGGCUAGCUGGUUUCAGUUGUUAGCCAGGGUUUGGCGGGCUAGUGUCAGCUAUGUGGAAAAUGACGGUGUCGUUUUGGAUGUAAUCCAAUAGAUAUUUAUUCAUGUGGAUUAUUUCUAUUUUGUCAUUUGUAGGGUGUGGAAAGAUUUAAAACUGUGAUGUGUGACACCUAUGGAAUACCAAAGGUGCCAGAAUUAAUUAAAUAAUAAAUACUCAACAAUUAUUAUGAAAUAGUAUUUCAUAAUCGUCGGAAGCAUUUAAAAGAUACUCACACGCAGGAGGUUUGCAGUGUGCAUCAUAGCUUGUGCUGGGUUUAGAACGCUCAGAAUUGCUAAUAAACAUGUUUAAUUAUCUUAUAUCCAGCGCUGCUGACCCGUAUUCAUCACAUCAGCAACUGCAGAUCGCCGAGGUCAAGCUGUAAGCAUGAGCAAGAGGAAGGGUGGCAGUGACAUUAGACAGUUUUUUGGGCAGCCUCAGAAAAGAAAAAAAAGUAAAGAGAGAGAGGGAGAGAGAGAAUGUGAGCAUGGCGACCAGACAGGGAGAGUGUGCGCUGGUGACAUGGAGGUAAGUCAGAAAGGAGCUAUAUUGAUGCUUAAGACAGAAUAAUGACAACAUAGCAGUCUAAUGUUAAUGUACAGACUCCUGUGUCCCCCCAUAUGUAUAAUGUGUAUCAACAGUCUUUCUAGUCAAUAGUUUACUGAUAUUUCUUCCAUGUUCACUCUGGUGUGUUCAGAGUAAAGAGAGAGAGGGAGAGAGAGAAUGUGAGCAUGGCGACCAGACAGGGAGAGUGUGCGCUGGUGACAUGGAGCUCAAGCUCAGAUGUUAUUGCUAGCAUUAUUCGGGAAAUGGUGCCAGAGGCGAGAGGUCUCUUCGGUCAGGUGGAAGCUUUAGUAAGGCUUCUGUUGGUCGUCCCUGCCUCUUCUGCAGAGGCUGAGAGGAGUUUUAGUGCCCUGAGGAGGCUUAAGACAUCAUCGAUGAGUCAAACGAGGCUGAAUAAUGUGGACAUAUGUCAUGUGCACCAGAAGAAACUGGACAGACUGGACCUUGAAGGAAUAUGCCAGUCUUUUAUCAGUGCCAACGAUAAGCGCAAAAAGGCUUUUGGGUCCUUUACUUGAGGGUUGGGCUUUUUGGGCGGGUGUCUGGGAGGAAGUUGGGGGUCUUUUUGAUUUUGAAUGAGCGGCAAGCAGCUAGUGCGAGUCGUGGCUGUAAAACAAAAGGGCAAUAAAGUGUUCCUGUUUCUACUGAAA